UCGUCCGAUUGUUUAAUAAAUUUCAUCAUUGCGAGCGUCGAGUUACGACUCUCCAUCGACACUCGACUGGACGGCGUGUCGCGUGUAAACGACAGUCACUUUCCGUAGUCGUUGUCCCGCAAUCCGUUUCUUUUUUUUGUUACUGUUUUUAUUUCAUAAAAUUAUCUGUUUUGGUUAUUAUUUUUAUUUUAUUUUUUUUUUUAUUCUCAAUACUUUCUAGUGUUUUUGGGUCUACCUUGUAAAUUCUUUGUUUCCAUGGCGUUCGUCCCGAAGAAUUCACGAACCAAGAGCUUAUUAUCUUAAUAUUAGAAACUUAACAAAAUAAACAUUAAAUGUUUAAGUGAUUACACAAUUAUGAAUAUUGACGACAUGAUUGGCAACGACAAAAUGCAUUCCUUUUGUUUACCUGUUGAAUCAUGUGUGGUUUGUGGAGAUCGAGCAUCAGGCCGACAUUAUGGAGCAAUAAGUUGUGAAGGAUGUAAAGGUUUCUUUAAAAGAUCUAUUCGUAAACAACUAGGUUAUCAAUGUCGAGGUACCAAAAUGUGUGAAGUAACAAAAAAUCACCGUAACCGUUGUCAAUAUUGUCGUCUUCAAAAAUGCUUGACCAUGGGAAUGAGAAGUGAUUCUGUGCAACAUGAAAGAAAACCAGUUACAGAUAGAAUAGAAUCUAUUCAUAAUAUGUCAACUAGCCCGGACAAUAAUAAUAUUCCUACAUUUUCAUAUGGAAAUAAUUCGUUUAUUAAAACUGAAAUGCCAUUCAUCAAAAGUGAAAAUCAUUUCAUCAAAACAGAAAUCCCAUAUGUAGGAAAUCGUUCCAUAUAUAAUGAUCAAACAGCAUUGAAUUUACUCCAAACAUCAAACGAAAAUGAUUCUUCUAUUAGAAAUCAGAAUUAUAUGGAUUAUUAUAUGGCUGAAGAUGAAGAGUCAUCAGUUAGCCAUUCUCCAAAUAAUGAACAGGAUAUUAAACCAUUUAAUCACGACAACAAAAGCCUAUUAGUACUUACAUUGGAUUCUAUGACAAAUGUUACACAACAGAACUCCAAUGGUACUGAUUCAUCAUAUGAAGUUGAAGUGCAGAGUAACAAUGUUUUAGAUAUUUCUGAAGAUGUAAUGCCAUCUGUCAAUGUUAAUUUUCCAUUCCAAUCACCCAGUCCUAAAUACGCAUACUUAAAUCUACAUUUUAUCUGUGAAAGCGCUUCAAGAUUAUUGUUUCUGUCUAUAAAUUGGGUUCAGAGUCUUCCAGUUUUUCAGCUUCUAACAUUUGAAGUACAACUUAGUCUGCUAAAAAGUUCUUGGUCACAACUGUUUAUUUUGGGUUUAACUCAAUGCGCACAGGCAUUAUCAUUGAUACCAGUACUUAGUUCUAUGAUUACCCAUUUACAAAAUGAUGAAAUUCAUAACUCACCCAACUCCAGUAAAGCUAAAGAGCUCAUUGAUUACCUCAAUAGAAUACAAGAUUAUAUUACAGAAAUGGAAAAUAUUGAAGUGAAUGAUGUAGAAUAUGCAUAUUUGAAAUUAAUAUCCUUAUUUAACACUGAUAAUCCUUCUGAAAGACAGCAGUUAUAUAAACUACAAGAAAAAGCUGUCAAAGAAUUGAAACAGCAUUUAAUCAAAGAAUGCAAUGAUGAACACCGUAUAGCCAUAUUAUUGUUACGACUUCCAACUUUACGAUCAUUACAACCUAAUAUCAUAGAAGAAAUAUUCUUUUCUAGUUUGUUGGGAAGUUUUCAAAUUGAUGCAGUUAUACCUCAAAUUUUAAAACUAAAAUGUUCUAGUACAGAGUAUGAAGAUUUUGUUUCAAAAAACUUUGUAUCAUAAUAAUUAUGAUUAGUCGUAUUUAUGGUUUGUAUUCCCAUUAUAAUCUUCUUGUAUUUAAAUUUUAGUUUUAUUUAGGCUUGAAAAAUAUUAUAAGUCAAAAUAUUUAGGUAAUAGUAAUGUCUCUACUUAUAAGAUAUUAUUUAAAAAAAAAUUAAGUUUGCAAUUAUAAAUGUUUUAGUUUUUCUAAAUACUUAAAUAGUUCAAUAUCUGGAUUAAUAACAGUGGUGCGAAACCAGACAUUUGAUAAAAAUAUAAGUUAUUUAAAUAUUGUUUGAUAUCUAAAAAAAUAGUGUUUCAGAUUGUAAACAACUCUCUAACUCACUAGUUGCUAUGGAUAUUAAUUGUAAUUGUAAUAAGUUUUAAAAUAAAACAUAAAAAAUAGUUGAGAGGAUGUCUUACAAACAGACAAAACAGUCAAUUCACAUUCAUAGUUUCAAUUUUGUGUUGUUAGCUUUAAUACUUUAGUAAAUCUAACUAUUUUAAAACUUAAUGGUAAGAAAAGCAUUCGGUUGUCUGUGUAAUCUGAAUAUCAGUGUUUACUCAAUGGAUUUUUACACUAUUUUAAUUUAAAGAAAAUUAUGUGUAUUAAUGUAUAAAAUAUAAAUAUUUUACAUACACAUAAAUCUCAUAAAAUUUAUCAAAAAAUAUCAAAAAAAAAAAACUAUAUAGCCAGAUAUUGUUCUUUUAAGCUAAAACCACAAAAUCGUAACUGCUGAAAUUAAUCUUGUUAUGUUGUGCAUUUGUGAAUUUAAAAAAAACACAUGGAUAUGCAUUAUACACAUGUCCUUUUAAAAUCAAAAAUAAUAAUCAUAGCAACUAUUUCACACUAUUACAAUAACUUUAUUUUUGUUUAAGAAAUUUCUGUUGAACAACUUUUUGUUGUGAUAGUUAUGUAUAGUUUAUGAAGCGUAAUUAGGACUUAGUAGACAUCACAAAUUAAAGAUAUCUUUAAUUGUGGUAGACAUGGUGUGUCAUGUUGGUAAAUAUUUAUGGAUGUUCGCUCAUCAUAAAACAGGGAAUGGUGAGGAAGCAGCUGGACACCAUUUCUAGUUGACAAUAAUUGAUGUGUUUUGCUGUAAUGAUUUCAAAAUAAUUCUCGCAAAAUCCAAGUUUCCGAUUGCGUCAUUGUUGUCAGGUAAAAUACUCUUAUAAAACCCUAUAGGUAAAUCAGUUUACUUUUAAAUUACCUCAGGGUUAGUAAUCGAGACAAUAAACAUAACACUUAUGUGUUGAUAUAAUAUAUUAGAUAUUUAGUUUUAGUAUUUUUUGUUAUUAAUAUAUUAUUGUAUUACAUACUAUACAUUUUUAUUUAAAAAUAUUUAAUUGUUUUUUGUUUGUAAUUUUAAUCGUAAGCGUAAGUAACUAUGUUUUAACUUAAGUACCUACUUAUAGUGAUAAUCAAUAACAUUUGACAAUAAAAUGCUGUGUUUAAAAUUAGGUAAUUAAAAUUUAAAGAUAACCAUUGUAUUAUAUUUUUA
rnacentral:misc_RNA from 1 species